rnacentral:rRNA from 1 species
UACGGAGGGUGCAAGCGUUGCUCGGAAUUAUUGGGCGUAAAGGGUAGGUAGGUGGUCUCAUUUGUCUGGGGUGAAAUCCUUGGGCUUAACUCAAGAAGUGCCCCAGAAACGGUGAGACUAGAGUACUGGAGAGGCGAGUGGAAUUCCCGGUGUAGCGGUGAAAUGCGUAGAGAUCGGGAGGAACACCAGAGGCGAAGGCGCUCUGCUGGACCAUA